rnacentral:lncRNA from 1 species
UUAUCUAUUGAGCACAAUGUCCGUUUUAAGUUUGGGGGUAUUUAUUAUGUUUAGUAUUUACUUGGGCAAUGUUUUGAUGGAAUUUGAUUUUGGCCAAUGAUAAGUGGGUGGUUGAUAUUGUUAACUCUUGGAGAAUUGAUGAGCAUGCUUAGUCUAUAUUUGAACUCAUUACUUGGUUUGCGAAAUUUUUGAAAAUUUUUACACAUAUCCAUUUGUUUAGCUAGUUGGGAUUGAAUUUGUUUGGCUAAAUGCUUAUGAAAGAUACCAUUGCAACUUGAGAAAUCUUAUUUGAGUAUCAUUCGAAGUGAAAAUUAGGCACUCACAUAAGUUUGGGGGAAAUCUUGGGGUAUUUAUGAAAAAAAAAUAUAAAAUUAUUGGAACCUUCCUGAGUUGAAUAAUUGAAUCUUGUGGUAGGUCGAGAUGGAGCGUAAAACGCACUCCCCAUAAACACAGGCAUGAGAUGGAGCGUAAAAUGCACUCGUUUAAUGGAAAGUGAGAUGGAGCGUAAAAUGUACUCACUAAAUAGAAAAAAAGAAAAUAUGCAUGUUUGAAAUACUUGGGAAGGGUUCUUACGUGCUAAAAAGUUUAAAUAUCCCGUUGAUCCUCAAGAAAAAUUUGUGCUAUGUCUAUAUUAGCGGUGAUUGAUAUGAUAAGAAGUUUUGAAAGUCAUUUUUGAAAAUCUUUUAUGAGUAUUGGUUGAUCUAUUCAAAAUCAUGACUGGUUUGAACAUAUGGAUGCACACACGCACUUAAAGGAUCAAGAGUAGAUGUGAAUCUAAUGAAAGUUGUUGAAAUUUUAGACAUGACAUUGUUUUGAAAUUUUCUACGGGUUAUCAUUUAUUAUAACCUUUGAGGCCAUUGAUCGAAUUCAUAUUGAUUCAUUUUUUGGGUGGAUCAUUGCUAGAGGAUGAAUCUGUCUAAUUUGUGUUUUUGCUUGAGGACAAGCAAUAAUUUAAGUUUGGGGGUAUUUGAUAAGUAGGUUUUACACCUACUUAUCCGGUAUCUAUUACUUGAAUUACUUGCUUAAACCUAUGUUUCUUAGUUACUUUUCAUACAUUUUAUGUUAUUUGUAGGCUAUGACAUAACAUUGGCAUGAAUAAGCAAGGAAAAGAAAUUCGGAUAUCUUUUGGACUAAAAUAUGCAAACAAAUACAAGAAUGGAAGAUUACAGGGCUUUUAACACCAAGUUGGAUGCAUGUUCUUGGCUUGGAACUUGGAUUAUACUAUAGAACUUCUUCUUAUCUUUUUGGAACAUAUUGAAUCAUCC